AUUGAACGCUGGCGGCAGGCUUAACACAUGCAAGUCGAGCGGAGAUGAGGUGCUUGCACCUUAUCUUAGCGGCGGACGGGUGAGUAAUGCUUAGGAAUCUGCCUAUUAGUGGGGGACAACAUUCCGAAAGGAAUGCUAAUACCGCAUACGUCCUACGGGAGAAAGCAGGGGAUCUUCGGACCUUGCGCUACUAGAUGAGCCUAAGUCGGAUUAGCUAGUUGGUGGGGUAAAGGCCUACCAAGGCGACGAUCUGUAGCGGGUCUGAGAGGAUGAUCCGCCACACUGGGACUGAGACACGGCCCAGACUCCUACGGGAGGCAGCAGUGGGGAAUAUUGGACAAUGGGGGGAGCCCUGAUCCAGCCAUGCCGCGUGUGUGAAGAAGGCCUUAUGGUUGUAAAGCACUUUAAGCGAGGAGGAGGCUACUGAGACUAAUACUCUUGGAUAGUGGACGUUACUCGCAGAAUAAGCACCGGCUAACUCUGUGCCAGCCGCCGCAGUAAAAC
rnacentral:rRNA from 1 species